UACGGAAGGUGCGAGCGUUAAUCGGAAUUACUGGGCGUAAAGCGCGCGUAGGCGGCUUGGUAAGUCGGGCGUGAAAGCCCCGGGCUCAACCUGGGAAUUGCGUUCGAUACUGCCGAGCUGGAGUACGAGAGAGGGGGGUGGAAUUCCAGGUGUAGCGGUGAAAUGCGUAGAGAUCUGGAGGAACAUCAGUGGCGAAGGCGGCCCCCUGGUUCGAUACUGACGCUGAGGUGCGAAAGCGUGGGGAGCAAACAGG
rnacentral:rRNA from 1 species